CUACACACACGCUACAAUGGCCAACACAAUAGGUUGCUAAGCCGCGAGGUGGCGCCAAUCCAUAAAGUUGGUCUCAGUUCAGAUUGUAGGCUGCAACCCGCCUGCAUGAAGAUGGAGUUGCUAGUAACCGCAGGUCAGCAAUACUGCGGUGAAUACGUUCCCGGGUCCUU
rnacentral:rRNA from 1 species